rnacentral:rRNA from 1 species
GAUGAACGCUGGCUACAGGCUUAACACAUGCAAGUCGAGGGACCGGCGCACGGGUGAGUAACGCGUAUCCAACCUUCCCGUUACUGCGGGAUAACCUGCCGAAAGGCUGACUAAUACCGUCUGGUAAAGGUGGGGGAUGCGUCUGAUUAGCUUGUUGGCGGGGCGACGGCCCACCAAGGCGACGAUCAGUAGGGGUUCUGAGAGGAAGGUCCCCCACAUUGGAACUGAGGCACGGUCCAAAGUCGUACGGGAGGAAGCAGUGAGGAAUAUUGGUGAAUGGGCGGAAGCCUGAACCAGCCAAGUGGCGUGCAGGAGGACGGCCUACGGGUUGUAAACUGCUUUUAUGCGGGGAUAGGUACCGCAUGAAUAAGGACCGGCUAAUUCCGUGCCAGCAGCCGCGGUAAUAC